CCUGCCCCCUCCCCCGGGAUAGCCGCCCGAAAGGACGGGUAAUACCGGAUACCCCCGGGCGCCGCAUGGCGCCCGGGCUAAAGCCCCGACGGGAGGGGAUGGCUCCGCGGCCCAUCAGGUAGACGGCGGGGUGACGGCCCACCGUGCCGACAACGGGUAGCCGGGUUGAGAGACCGACCGGCCAGAUUGGGACUGAGACACGGCCUAGACUCCUACGGGAGGCAGCAGUGGGGAAUCUUGCGCAAUGGGGGGAACCCUGACGCAGCGACGCCGCGUGCGGGACGGAGGCCUUCGGGUCGUAAACCGCUUUCAGCAGGGAAGAGUCAAGACUGUACCUGCAGAAGAAGCCCCGGCUAACUACGUGCCAGCAGCCGCGGUAAUACGUAGGGGGCGAGCGUUAUCCGGAUUCAUUGGGCGUAAAGCGCGCGUAGGCGGCCCGGCAGGCCGGGGGUCGAAGCGGGGGGCUCAACCCCCCGAAGCCCCCGGAACCUCCGCGGCUUGGGUCCGGUAGGGGAGGGUGGAACACCCGGUGUAGCGGUGGAAUGCGCAGAUAUCGGGUGGAACACCGGUGGCGAAGGCGGCCCUCUGGGCCGAGACCGACGCUGAGGCGCGAAAGCUGGGGGAGCGAACAGGAUUAGAUACCCUGGUAGUCCCAGCCGUAAACGAUGGACGCUAGGUGUGGGGGGACGAUCUCCCCGUGCCGCAG
rnacentral:rRNA from 1 species